rnacentral:rRNA from 1 species
CCUACGGGGGGCAGCAGUGGGGAAUAUUGGGCAAUGGGCGCAAGCCUGACCCAGCAACGCCGCGUGAAGGAAGAAGGCUUUCGGGUUGUAAACUUCUUUUCUCAGGGACGCAGAAAGUGACGGUACCUGAGGAAUAAGCCACGGCUAACUACGGGCCAGCAGCCGCGGGAAUACGUAGGUGGCAAGCGUUAUCCGGAUUCAGUGGGUGUAAAGGGCGUGUAGGCGGGAGCGCAAGUCAGAUGUGAAAACGCAGGGCUCAACCCUGCGUCUGCAUUUGAAACUGUGUGUCUUGAGUGCGGGAGAGGUAAGCGGAAUUCCGGGUGUAGCGGUGAAAUGCGUAGAUAUACGGAGGAACACCAGUGGCGAAGGCGGAUUGCUGGACAGUCACUGACGCUGAGGCGCGAAAGCGUGGGGAGCAAACAGGAUUAGAUACCCCAGUAGUC